rnacentral:rRNA from 1 species
GGACCAAGGAGUCUAGCGUGUGCGCGAGUCAUUGGGAAUCACUAAACCUAAAGGCGCAAUGAAAGUAACGGUUCACUUUAUGUGAACUAAGGGAAGAUGGUCGGUCUCCAUGACUGACCCGCAUUCCCGGGGCGCCUCAUUCUCAUUGCGAGAGGAGGCGCACCAAGAGCGUACACGCUGGGACCCGAAAGAUGGUGAACUAUGCCUGGUCAGGACGAAGUCAGGGGAAACCCUGAUGGAGGUCCGUAGCGAUUCUGACGUGCAAAUCGAUCGUCGGAACUGGGUAUA